GAUUACUCCUACGGGAGGCAGCAGUAGGGAAUAUUGCACAAUGGGCGAAAGCCUGAUGCAGCAACGCCGCGUGUGCGAAGAAGGCCUUCGGGUCGUAAAGCACUUUUCUGGGAGAUGAGAAAGGACAGUAUCCCAGGAAUAAGUCUCGGCUAACUACGUGCCAGCAGCCGCGGUAAUAAU
rnacentral:rRNA from 1 species